GGCAGCCAAUAUUGUUGGCACCUUUGGGCGCAGAGCAUGCAGAUGAGAAGUCGUGGAAGGAGCUUUUCGUGGAGAGGGAGUUCCGUAGUAAAACAUUCAUGGGACGCUAUAGUAUUGAUACAUUGUAUGGUCAUACCGAGGCUGUUAGGACUGUUUCUGUUUUAUCUUCAAAGAAACUUCUGUUUACUUCAGGGUAUGAUCAGAUAGUGCGAAUGUGGGACUUGGAAGAAGGUUUAUCUAUUGCAUCAUCUCGCCCUCUUGGCUGCACUAUUCGUGCAGUUGCGGCUGAUUCGAGGCUCUUAAUAGCAGGGGGUACAGAUGGAUUCAUACAUGGUUGGAGAGCAGAGGAUGGAAAUCCACAUCUCUUUGAUCUUAGAUCACCUCAGAACCAGAACACGGAA
rnacentral:misc_RNA from 1 species